rnacentral:lncRNA from 1 species
GAAAGGCUAUUGAACAUUAAUGGUAUAUUUGUUAUAUCGGACAACGCUUUUCGUUAUUCAAGAAAUUUGCAGAAAUUGUAAGUAGUUAAAGAAUUAAUUCCUCUCUUUGAAAUAUUGAAAAUAUGCGCAUAUUACACAAGAACAGGGAUUAACACUACGAACUUACAGUUUUACACACAACAAAAACGUGUUUUUUUUUAUUUGUCAUUCCGUAGCAAUUUAUAACUCACGUUAAGGACACCAGACAUGUUUCAAAAUUUGUAGCCACACUUCCGUCAUCUUUUCACCGAAUACGAUUUAUCGAUGAAUGUUUUUCUACAAUAAGCAACACGACUGUUAACUCUUUUGGAGCACCUGCGUUUAACAGAUGAUUGUGGUGGAGUUUGUUUUGUUCAAUAUUAAGGUUUUUUGUGUGUAGUGUUUUAUGGACAGUUUUUCGUUGGGUUUUUGUAUGGACAUGGCAGAUUCUAUUUUUUGUUGGCCUUGUGUUUUAUUAAAAAGUACCAGAAUCUUAUGACAAAUGAGACGAUUUUAGUUUUGAAAUUGUCGCUUAUCCCCGCCUCAGUAGCAAUAUACCAUUUUCACCUGCAUAUAGGAUAUACAUUUUCCAACUCACUCGGUAUUCAAGAGCUUUCAGCUACUACCCAGACUUUGUACAUCACGAGUGUUUGAGCAAAAUGUUAAUAACUAGGGUUAUGUCUAAUAACGUCUUGUUUUUUUUUCUGAAAAAAGUUCAUGGGAAGACACCAAGACUUCUUCUUUUUUUUUUAAAGUAAUCUGUUUUAACUUCACAAAUAAUACAUGAUGGACUUGAUGUGUAGAAUCUAGGUUUUGGCGUUGUGCCAUAUUUGUGUGUUUUUAUAGUGAUUGAGAUUAUCACACAAUGUUGACUGCUGUACCCCAAUGUUUUACAUUUUUGACAUUAUGUCUGUUUGUUUUGUUCAGACAUUAUUGUCAAUAUAAUGGAAUUUUAUGCGACUGUCGUACAAGUCAGAGGUUUAGUUUGCUUUAAAACCAGGUUAAAUUCACCAUUCUCUUAAUGAGCAAAUGCCUGUACCAAGUCAGGAAUAUGACAGUGGUUUUCCAUUUGCUUGAUGUGUUUGAGCCUUUUAUUUUGUCAAUUGUUAAGGGACUUUCUGUUUUUAAUAAUCAUUGAUGAAAGAUUUAAGCAAAAAAAUAUCAGGCGAGCGAUUCAGGCUCUUAAGAGCCUCUUGUUCAAUUUUUAGCUUUAAUCUAGAAGACAAAAAAGAUAAAGUGCAACAUUUAUAAUUUAAAAAAGUAUCCAGGUGUACAAGUAUAUCACUUUGGUACAAACUUUGGUACAAACUUUUCAGUCGACCACUUAUUAUGAUUCGAGCGCAUCUGAUAGAAGUUAUAACUAUUCUCAAAUGAUUUUAGUUUUUGGCUAUGUUCUAGGACUAACAUUGUUUAAAGGCAUUUGUAUGACAUUGUAUACAUUCAUAAUGAGGGUUUUUUUUCCUAUUAGCUUUAAUCUCUUUUUUUUAACCAUUGUACAUCAUACAUGUGUUUUGAUUCUUACUAUUUGUUAUAUUAUAAAUGCUUGUAAUUUCUCCGUUCCAUGGAUUUUAGUUUAAUAAAUUAAAAAAGAUAUAUUUAAAAGAAAUUAUUACUGAUUAGAGAAACAUAUGUAACAAAUUUUAGGAUAAAGUGCCUUCUUACCACCAAAAACAGCAAACACAAUCUGCAAGAUAUGAUCUACAAGUAAAAAUAAAAUAGUCCAAUCAAUUUGUUUAGGGGAAGUGUCAUAAACUAACUUGAUCACAUUUAAAACAUGAUUUAAUAGUUAUAGCAAUAAAAUAGUCUUAUAUUUUGAUCUGGAUUUUUGUCACGGUAGUAUCUCAGGAUCGAUUAUUUUGAAUCUACACUUAAUUUGAAAUCUGGUAGUUAAAGGCAUAUUGUUGACAGAUGCGCCUGUGAUUGAAGAAAAACAAUCUAUAUGGAAAAGAAGAUGUUGUAUGAUUGCCAAUGAGAUAAAUCUCCACAAGAGAUCAAAAUGAAACAGAAAUUAACAACUAUAGGUCACCGUACGGCCUUCAACAAUGAGCAAAGCCCAUACAUAAUCUGUUUAUUCAUGUUACUACCAAUGCAAAAUAUAGGAAUUCCUGUAGAAAUAUAUUUUAGUAGAAAAAUAUUUUAAGCAGUUUCAUUAUCGAAAUUGGUAUAAUGAAAUUUUUUAAAAUGUAUCACCAAGGAUAUGUAAAACUUCAUAACAGUGUGAAAAACAUUAUGCAAAGUGGGCUUUUCUGAGGAACUUGUUUUUUAAAUUCGUAAUAAGAAAUGAAGGCUAUGAAUAUUUUUUCUUCGUGUGAUUUAUUUCUUUUACUUUUCAGGAAGUUGGAUAAUAAUAAAUUACUUUAUUUGCAAGGAAAACUUUUUGUUCACAAUGAACAUUUGUUAUAUCUGUAAGUAUAUAUUACGUAUCAUUCAUAUGAAUUACAAACAGGACAGAUACGAACCGAAAACCAAAGUCAGCUGUAUAUACAGCAUGGUAGUGACAAUACUAAUAUACAAUGGUCAUUGAGGAAGCAAUGUUAAAUUAAAUUCCAAAAUGUGAAAAAAAUCAUGUGUUCCAAACUCAAUAUAAAUUGUAUGACCCUAAGGGUUUUUAUAUGCAUUAGGCAAGUUGUCAUAUUUACUAAUAAAAAGAGAUUUGGGGUUUAUGUCAAUGAUAGACCAAAACAGCGAUAAAUAUAAGCACAAGACGAUAUAUUUGGAAUUUAUAGUCUUCAACAAUUGACCGAUGUCCAUAAAAUUUGUCAAGUCUUAUUCAUCAAAAGUCUUUAAAAAAAAUGAAACUGAAAAAGGGGAAGAUUUUGCUUUCUUGUUUAAUUAGCAAAAACGUUUAAGUAAACAUUAUUGAGUAAAAUGCAACCGUAGAUUAAAAAUUUUAUGAAUUAGACAUUCAAGUAUAGAAUGUGUCCUUCAAAUUAUAAGUUUUUUUCAUUGAAACAAAACACGUUAAUUAUUUCUUAGUUUCUCUUUUGUUAUAUAUAUAUAUAUGUGAUAAGUGGAACACAAUACAACUGGACCACCGUUUCAUCUUAAAGUUUUGAUGAACUCAUGGAAAUUAAUAAUCGGAACUUCAUUAUAUACAUGGAAAAAGAAGCUUUGAAAAAAUGUCGUUAAUUAAAACAAUAAUUCUCCCGCCAAUCCGAUCAUUAAAAAGUAAAAUCACAAAAGCUAUUACCAAUGAUUGUUACAGUAUGUUCUUAUGUUGUCCCGUUGCGCCUCAGCUAAAUGUUAGUUAGGGGAAGGUUGAGAUCUCACAAACAUUUGUUACUCGGAACAUUUUUAUGGCUUUUACCCAGUCUGGAGCCUGUAUUUUAUUCUUAUCUGGUCUGUAUUAUGGUUCAUAAUGAUUUCAUUUUAUUUCUAUUCAAUCUAAUGAAAACAAUAUUUUUACGCUAAUUAUUUGAUCGAGUUUACAACGAGAUCAACAGUUAAUAAGUCAAAGAUGUUUUUUCUUGUGUUUUGUUCACAUUCGUGUUCGUAUAUUGUAGGUGUGUUCAAAAUUAGUCUUAAGAUGCAAUCAUUUCACGUAUACAUGUUUAGUUGAUAUCUAUAUGUGACAAUUACCUAUCUGAAUCAACUUAAAUUUUGUUUUUCAAAUAUUUUGAUAUGCUGUUCAGCAAAGUAUCCAUAGAUGGUAUUUAAAAUUUAUUUGUUGUUGUUUUUUGACUGAUUGGUUUGUUCAAGUAAUGUUUUUUUAAUUUUAUAUUUAUAUGUAUAAAUAUACAUAAAAUAUCCUUAAUUGUAAUGAUCGAAAUUGAUAUGAGCCAGCAGUUUUUGAGGAAGCAUUCGAAAAAACUCUAUAAUUAUAAUAUUUUUUAUUUUAUCUAUACAUUUUUAUAACUUUGCUGUUCCAUUAAUGUGUCUAUAAUACAUUUUUUAUAAGUGAUUUUAGCUAUAAUGAAAUAUCUACGAUUGAAGCUGAAGUGUUCGGAAGAUUGAUAAAUCUCCAAACUUUGUGAGUAUACUUUAUACAAGUUCAUUUUUUGACAAUUGCAUGGUUGUAUAUAAUAAUUUAAUGGGAUUUUGUUGUUUGAUUUGUUACCAAUACUGUAUGUGUGAGUAAACUUAUAUUCUAACUGUUGUCUGAUCGUCUGGGCGGAUAUCCCAGCUUGAUUUUCUCUAAGAAAGAUCUCAUGCGAGUAUUCAAUGUAUUGUUACAAACGAUUUCCUAAUUAUAAUAAUCUAAUUUUGUGUUAUUUUCAAUGAAGAGUACUGGAAAUCAACUUUUAACUUUCACUGUUAUUUUGUUACUUUAAAAUUAUUGUCAUAUUUAGGUACCUGCAUUUUACAGUACUUGAUUUGUACUCGAAAUUUAAGAUUUUUGGUUACACUUUAUAUAUGUUAAGCGUUUUAAAAGUUCGUCUUUUUCAAAUCCCUUAAUGUCAUGAUUUUCAAAUAUAGAAUAUCGCAAUCACUGUUGAUAAUACUAGUAUAUCUGUAUCAAAAUUUCAAAACGGUCGCCAUCAUUAGCUGAUUGGCCAUUAUGACAAAAGUGUGUCAGAAAUCAUAUCUGAUAUUCUUCCUCAGUCAUUAUAUAUUUCAAAUACGACGAACAAAGAAUAACACGACGGGUACCGUAUACGGUGCAGGAAAUGCCACCCUUCCGGAGCACUGAUUCAUCCUGUUAGUGGAGUUCGUUGUUUCUUAUUUAUUUUGUAUAAUUGUUGAUGUAAAUGUCCCUUGGUUUUGCGAGUCUUUGUUUACUCCUUGGUUUUUAUUGUUAUUGUCUUUUAAGUACAAAUCAAGAACUGUAAAAUACAGGUACCUAAAAAUUACAAUAAUUUUAAAGUUAAGAAAUAGUAUUAAAUAUUUAAAGUAAAUGUCCAGUACAACAUAUUUUAGUAUAGAGAUAUUACCUAUUAAAAAGUAGCAGCGUAUGCAACCUUUAAAAUUGUACAAGUAAACUUCAUAUGCAAGUUAUUAAUCGAUAUUCAUGGUGUGUUUAAUAGAACUUUUUUUAUGUUUUAGGCUGCUGAAUAAUAACAAAAUAUCAUCAUUAGACGAAAAGUUGUUUUCAAAUUUGACGAACCUGAAGACACUGUAUGUACAAAUACCAAAUGCUGUCCCUUACGGGAAAAACUAAUGUUUAUAGUUAUUUCAGAACGUAAAGAUAAUCGAAAAUAAUCUAUUCCUCUCCAUUCCCAUUUAUUAAACGUCUCGAACAGAUGAAUCAUAUUGCAUUUCAACACUGGUAUUUACUGUAUUUGACGUAGAUUUAGUCAGAAAAUAACUGCUGAAUGAAAUUGCGUAGGUUGCUUUUAAUGUUCUCAUUUCAAAUGGACAUAAAUGGCUUAUCACCUCCCCCCCCCCCCCCAAAAAAAAAACCCUACUCUGAGUACGGACUCACAUGCGUAGUUUGAAAAGUAUUAAGGCCUAGCAUCCACUAAAUAUAUCAAAGUUAAAUGCAUUUAAUGAUAGAGAAAGAUAAAAUAGCUUUUUGAUUUUGUUGGGAAUAUUUGUUAUGCUGAACCUUUAACUAAAUAUUUAAUUAAAAAAUGUAGUGUGUAUGUUUCCAUUAUGGAAAUACAACAUAAACCAACGACUGGUUCGUCCUUUAUAUGUAUUAUGAAGUUUUCAAUUAGGAAUGAAAAGAUGUUAGCAUUAUACUUUCACCUCGCGUACAUCUAUAAAGAGUUGUCCUAUCACUAAAUAAUUCAUUUUGGUAACGUUGUUAAACUUCAUACAGGUUAUGAAAAAAAAUCAACAUAAUUUGUUUUUAUCAUUCCUAUCUCUUCUGUACCAAGAUUUGUAACAAGAAAUCAGAGAGUUGCGCGUUUGACAAUACGAUAUUUGUUACAGUUCAUUUUAGAUAUACCGGACAAUAUUCAAGCUUGCUUAAAGCAAAUUGAAAACGUAUGAUUUGAAACUCUCAUUUUACUACAUGAACUCAAUAGAUUCUAAUGAUCGUUUCAAUAUUAGCAACGAGAGGAAUAAAUAUGUAGUUAAAUAUCAGCAUUACAUUGUACCUAUUUUUCUGUGACAAAUCACCCUUGUAUGUCAACAGACAAAUAAACAGUAAAGAGUUAUCAAAGGUACCAGGAUUAUAAUUUAGUACGCCAGACGCGCGUUUCGUCUAAAUAAGUCACUUCAUUCCUGUUUCUACAUAUUUAAAUAGGAUUUUAGCCGGAAUACUCGUAUUACUUUUAGUUGUUAAUUAUAUAAUGCAAACAGCCAUAUACAUUAUUACACUGAAUAUCAAAUGUUGAAUAUUGAUGGCAAAAUCAACAGUUCAUUUGUUAAAACUAUUCCACGUGACAUCAAACAAACUUCAUAUUCCCCUCUUAGUAUUAUAUUGCCCUAUGAACGUCGGGAUUGCUUUGUGUGACGUUACCCGCGGUUAAUGUUUAAAAACGUUUUGAUUGGGUUUUUUUAAGAUAACAUAGUUAUUUCAUUUUUAAAGUUAUUGAAAAUCUGAAAACAAACAGCACAGAAUAAAUAAUUUGCUUUUAAUCGGUAUUGAUUAUCAUUGUGUAUGUUGUGCUUUGUUAAAAAAAACCAUAGGCAGUAGAAUAAAACAUUAAGUUCCCUUACCCUCGUGAAGUAUGAUUUGUCUUGGGUGAAAACAUCUUCAAAUCUCCCUCAGGCCCGGGAAAUGAAUGUAUAUUGUCAUACAAUUUAAUUUUUUCAGGACAAUAAAUAACAACUUGAUAUCAACCAUUGAAGAUAAUACGUUCGUUAACCUAAAAAGUCUUGACGUUUUGUAAGUACAGUAUUUCCUUUUGUCUUGCAUUGUAUUCAAAUUUGUAUGUAUUAUAGAAUUUGUCAUAAAAGAUCAUAUCUAAUUAGUUAUCAAAGGUACCAGGAUUAUAAUUUAGUACGCCAGACGCGCGUUUCGUCUACAUAAGACUCAUCAGUGACGUUUUAUAUAAAUAUUUAUCAGCCAAACAAAGUCCAAAGUUGAAAAGCAUUGAUGAUCAAAAAUUCAAAAAAUUGUGCCAAUACGGCUAAUGUAAUCUAUGCUGGGAAAGAAAAUCCUUAGUUUGAAAAUUCAAAGUUUUGUAGACAUGAAAUUAUAAAAUGACCACAUGAUUGAAUAUUCAUGUCAGCACCGAAGUGUUGACUACUGGCUGGUGAUACCCUCGGGACGAACGUCCACCAGCAGUGGCACCGACCAGUGUGUAAAAUAGUUAUCAAGGUACGCAGGAUUAUAAUUUAGUACGCCAAACGCGCGUUUCGUCUACAUAAGACUCAUCAGUGACGCUCAUAUCAAAAUAUUUGUAAAGCAAACAAGUAAAAAGUUGAAGAGCAUUGAGGAUCCAAAAUUCCAAAAAGUUUGUGCUAAAUACGGCUAAGGUAAUCUAUGUCUGGUUAAGAUAGACCACGACCAAAUAAAUAUGAUGUAGGUGAUAGCUCUGCACAGACAAACCUAAUACGUGAUCCAAUGUAUACAGCAUUGGUCGCACUAAGACAUAAAAAAGGUAGAAUAGAAAAAACAACCAUCAAGUUAAAAGUUUAUGUUUGGUAGACUGUCAGUAUAUUGAGUAUAAAAUUUUUCCGACAUGCAGGUCAAUUGGAACUGAAAUUUCAACUUAUACAUUUUUGCAUUAAGUAUUCAGCGUAUAAACAGUGUGAUUCCAACUGAAACCACAAUCUACAAUUUACCAAAUACCUUUAUCUCAUUUGAUAUUCCCUUAAAUUUACAAAUACACAGCUACUGAAUGUCCGAAUACGGUUCGAGUAUUAACGAUAUUAUUGUGAUCAACAUUUAAAACUGAAAGUUUUUUUUUUAAUUUUAAACUGACAGAAACGAAAUAGAACUGGUUACACUGUUAUCAAAAUGGCGAAACGAUAGACAACAAAUUGAAGACCGAACCUACAGAUAGGUUGUGGGUUUUUUUUAAACGCAAUAAAAUAGUUUUUGAAGUCAAUGUUAUAAAAGUUCAUCAAAGAGACCCAACUACUAUUAUAAUUCGGUUUUCGUCUUCAGAAUACCCUAAGGUGACCACAGUUGGAAGUUCCAAACUAUUGUAACAAAUAUGGUGUAGGCUAUGACCUGGAGUAGAAAAAAAAUUGUUUCCAAUAAUUAAACAUAUUAUUAAAUGUAAAUAAUAUAGAAACACUACCACUACAAUUAUAUUCUUUGGCAAAACAAAACUGCUUAUUGCUUGGCUAAUAAUAAUAUCUGGACCGAAACGUUAGGAAGUAUUUGCUCAAAUAAGAUCAUUAUCUUUAUGUUGCGUUAUGUGUAUUAAUUUUAUUUCUUUUAAAUGUAAUGCUGCCUGAAACAAAGUCUCUUUUCCUGUUUAUUGUUUAAUGACCUUUUGAUUAAAUGGCAUUCUAAACCUUCAAUCUCGGGCAUUAUUGAUAAUUGAUUCAGAAAAGUGCUCUUGUCGGGGUACAUUGUAAUGGUACGUUUAUAAUGCGUAUACAUAGUUUUGAAUUGAAUAUGUUUAGAAAAAAAGGUGUAUUGAAACCAGUACAAAACUACAAGGAACAUUCAAAACGAGAAUUCCUUUUCUCAAAUUGCAAAUUCAAAAGUACAAAAACUUCAAACGAAAGAAAAACAAUUGUCACAUACCUGACUCAGUACAGCAUUCAUUUACGUCGAAAAAUUGUGGAUAAAACCUUGUAUUAUAUCUAGCUUAACUUCAGCUUGUAUGUCAGUCUAGAACUCUUUAUAUUGACAACAAUAUGUAAGCCAAACAAACAGACAUUAUAGGCAUAUAUGUCAAAAUUUGGGUACAGCAGUCAACAUUGUGCUAAAAUCUUAAUCACUAUUAUAACAAACAACUGUCAACAAAGAAAACAAAAUUGCAUGCAGACACUCUAUAGACAAAGCACAUACACAAAAAUGAAAGACAAUAAUAUAACAAAUGAGUGUGAGCCAAGACUCCGCGUUGAAGACUGUAAUUUGACCAAUAAUAGUUUAUGUUUACAAAUUGAAACUUGGAUGGAGAGUUGUCUCAUUGGCACUUAUACCAAAUCUACUUAUAUCUUUAUCCAAAAAACACCAUAGCGCGAUGUAUAAAUACUAGUGCUACAAAAUAUGGACUAAAAAGUAAAGGUGAAUAGAUAAACCAAGAAAAAUGAAACAUAACAUAAUUCAGAUGAUAAAUACGUUAGUAUCUAAAAUCUAUAUUUCAAGACCAUCAUGUAUUAUUUGUGAAGUAGAGACGGAAUAUGCAUCAAGAAGGUCUUAAUAUUUUUGGUAUUUGUUUCUAAAAAAAAGGACUUACCGUUCUUUGACAUAGCCAAACAACACUCUGCUCAGACACUAGUGACGUUUUAUAAAGUCUUAAUAACAGCUGCAAGCUCUUUAAUACCGAAUGAGGUGGGAAAUAUAUUUUCAAUAUGCGGGAGAAGCUGUUAUGUUGCUGCUAAGUGGGGGAAAUUAAUAAUUUCAAAUUUAAAUCGUCUCAAUUUGUGAAGGAUUCUGGCACUUUUUUUAAUAGAAAAAACAUCAUCUAUACAUCUGAAUCCGAAUUUAAAUGAUAAACCGAAAACGUUUCAAAGACAUUAAUAAUCGGGAAAUUGUUGCGUGAAUAUUGAAACAUCUUAUUCACUUGAAGAGGUGUUGAUAAAAUAUAUUUCAUCACCAUGCUAUAUGUGUUCAAAAUUAUACAGAUUUAUCAGAUAUGGUUAUACAGUUAUGAGUCAUACUCUUUCGAUAUUAAGCCGAUUGUUCUGCUCUGCAAUUUUUGCCUUUUAUCCUGCAAUUUGGUGUUCUAAUUUACAGAUACAGACAUACAGAUAUCGCUAUCGCUUUAAAACUCCGCCCACUGCCGGACUGAGUAUUGUAUGAACCUGUGUGACCUCAGAAUGUGUAUUGCAGUGCAUUCCAAUUGACGUACUAAUUGCAAAUUAACGCAAAUUAACGAUUACUUGUAUUUACUUCUUUUGUUUUCAUAACUUUCUAUUGGAAGCAUAGGAAUCACACCAAUUUUCUGAUAACACAAACAUGAGCAGAAGUCGUUUUUUUUACGAUGACAACUAUCGUAUUUGAAAACGUUCGAAUUGACUAUGAUUGAGUGUAACAAAAACAACAAUGUCAUAUCAGCAUGCAUGUUUACGUGAAUGUCCGAGUCUGAAAGCGUUAGGAACAGCUCUACACUUCUCUUUCAAAGUGGACAAUAUUUGUUAUUUUUAUUUACUGUUGAAUUAGUUGUUAUGUUAAAUAGUAAUUAUUUCACCUUGAGAGAUUGUAUUAUUGGUUACCAUUCGAGAUCUUUUUUGUUAACCCGUCUUCAGAGAACAUGUGAUUACUGUAUCUUUUACUAACACGGGCCCUCAAAGUUUUUCAAAUCGAAAAUACAAUGCAAAACUGAUGUUUUGUGUCCUUUAAAACCAACAAAUAUACAUGAAAAUAAUUGCAGGAUAAAUACAAUACACUGUUUAAGUGUCUUUAAAGAUCAGCUGUAUUAUGUACUGCGCCUCGAAAUCAGUAUUAAUAGUCGCUGAAAGCUCGGCCAUACACCUGUUUCCUAUCCUCGUACAAAUACAGCUUGAUAUUACUAGACCACUAACUGUUAUUGUCCUUAUUUUAAAUUAACAGCAGUAGAUGAAAUAUUAAUAUUCUUUAUUUCAAAAUUAGAUCAGAUCGAUGUGGAAUAAUGAAAGAAUAUGUUCUACCUUUCUUUUGAUUUUACGGUGAAAAUAGUAGUUUCAAAAAGUUUACAUCAUUCCUGUUGUUUAGCUAGGUACCAUUUUAGCAUUUUGGAUAGUUCAUUCAGAACCGCUAUUUUUUAUCUCUGCAAAUGACUAAGAAUUAUCUACAUUAUCCAGUUUCUUUUGGGGUAAACGCGACCUGUCUCGCUUCUUUUGAAGCUCAUAUUACUUCUUCAGUUGAUUCAUAAUACCUUGAUUUGGCCUUUUCAAAUUUGAUUAUUGAGAUUUAAACAUUGAUAAUCUACUAUUGCUUAAAUAAUUUACUACUACUUGUAUAGAUCAUCCAAUUUCUUUGUUUCUAGAGUUAUGUAUCUUAUACAAGUUUCGUCAUUUACGUCUGGAACUUUUAUUGGAUUGCAAAGGAUAAAGACUCUGUA